rnacentral:rRNA from 1 species
GAUGAACGCUAGCGGCAGGCUUAAUACAUGCAAGUCGAGGGGUAGCAAGAUUGUAGCAAUACAAUUGUUGACGACCGGCAAACGGGUGCGGAACACGUACACAACCUUCCUACAAGUGGGGAAUAGCCCAGAGCAAUUUGGAUUAAUACCCCGUAACAUAGCGAUGUGGCAUCACAUUGCUAUUAUAGCUUCGGCGCUUGUUGAUGGGUGUGAGGCUGAUUAGAUAGUUGGCGGGGUAACGGCCCACCAAGUCUACGAUCAGUAGCUGAUGUGAGAGCAUGAUCAGCCACACGGGCACUGAGACACGGGCCCGACUCCUACGGGAGGCAGCAGUAAGGAAUAUUGGACAAUGGACGCAAGUCUGAUCCAGCCAUGCCGCGUGAAGGAUUAAGGUCCUCUGGAUUGUAAACUUCUUUUAUAAGGGACGAAAAAAGGUCUUUCUAGAUCGUCUGACGGUACCUUAUGAAUAAGCACCGGCUAACUCCGUGCCAGCCGCCGCCGUAACAC